GAUGAACGCUGGCGGCGUGCUUAACACAUGCAAGUCGAACGGUGAAGCAGGAGCUUGCUCCUGUGGAUCAGUGGCGAACGGGUGAGUAACACGUGAGCAAUCUGCCCUGGACUCUGGGAUAAGCGUUGGAAACGACGUCUAAUACCGGAUACGAGGCGUGGGGGCAUCCCCAACGCCUGGAAAGAACUUCGGUCCAGGAUGAGCUCGCGGCCUAUCAGGUAGUUGGUGAGGUAACGGCUCACCAAGCCGACGACGGGUAGCCGGCCUGAGAGGGUGACCGGCCAGACUGGGACUGAGAAACGGCCCAGACUCCUACGGGAGGCAGCAGUGGGGAAUAUUGCACAAUGGGCGCAAGCCUGAUGCAGCAACGCCGCGUGAGGGACGACGGCCUUCGGGUUGUAAACCUCUUUUAGCAGGGAAGAAGCGAAAGUGACGGUACCUGCAGAAAAAGCACCGGCUAACUACGUGCCAGCCGCCGCAGUAAUAC
rnacentral:rRNA from 1 species